GCAACAUUAGAGAGAGACAGGGGAAGAGAGAGAUCUGACCACGUCUCCCUCUCUGAUUCUUAAGUCUGGUCUCACCCAUGCAUUUUCUGAGGUUUGAGUGUGAGCCAAAAAUAUUGCCUUUUGGUAUUAGCCAAUUAGAUUCAGGCGUUUGUCACUUGUAGGCAAAAGAAGUCUUGACCAAUGGGGUGGUUGUGCAACAUGGCAUUUUACUUUGAUGUUCCAUCUUUCAAGUUUCUUAAUGAGAAUUUCUUUCAUAAGGCAAAGCAACAUUCUUUCUGACCAAGUAAAAUUACAAAAAUUACCGUAAUCUUUCCAUCUGUUAAACUGGGCUGGGUAUACCAAUGUGUCCUUCCUUCUCUGUUCCUUUGUACAAAGCCAGCACUCUCCAGCGACACACUUG
rnacentral:lncRNA from 1 species